rnacentral:rRNA from 1 species
CAGCAGCCGCGGGAAUACGAGGGGGGCAAGCGUUGUUCGGAAUUAUUGGGCGUAAAGGGCGCGUAGGCGGUUUGGCAAGUUUCGUGUGAAAUCUUCGGGCUCAACUCGAAGUCUGCACGGAAAACUGCCGGGCUUGAGUAUGGGAGAGGUGAGUGGAAUUUCCGGUGUAGCGGUGAAAUGCGUAGAUAUCGGAAGGAACACCUGUGGCGAAAGCGGCUCACUGGACCAUAACUGACGCUGAGGCGCGAAAGCUAGGGGAGCAAACAGGAUUAGAUACCCGCGUAGUCCCUGUCUCUUAUAC